CCCUCCACCGUCGUCUCCAUCUCCAGCACCUUCGUCUCCGCCGACGUGGCCUUGUCCUGCAGCUCGGCCAGCUGCCGUGGGGGGCGGGGGGACAAUGUGUGGGGCAGCCCCAUGGGGACAAUGUGGGGGUCAGGCCCCAUGGGGACAGCGUGUGGGGCAGCCCCAUGGGGAGAAUGUGGGGGUCAGCCCAUGGGGACAGCAUGUGGGUCAACCCAUGGUGAGAAUGUGGGGGGCAGGCCAUGGGGAGAAUGUGUGGGGCAGCCCCAUGGGGAGAAUGUGUGGGGCAGCCCCAUGGGGACAGCGUGUGGGGCAGCCCCAUGGGGAGAAUGUGGGAGUCAGGCCCCAUGGGGACAGGGUGUGGGGCAGCCCCAUGGGGACAUUGGCCACAUCAACCCCCAUGGGGACUAUCAAUGUCACCUCAUUGUCAGCCAGGUCAACCCAUAGGUAACUAUAGGAACAUCAGCCAGGUCAACCCAUAGGAACUAUACGAACAUCAGCCAGGUCAACCCAUAGAAAACCCUAUAGGAACAUUGGCCAGGUCAACCCAUAGGGAACACUUAAGAAUACCAGCCAGGUCAACCUAUAGGAAACAUUAUAGAAAUGUUGGCCAGGUCAACCCCCAGGGAACACUGUAUAGGAACAUCAGCCAGGUCAACCCAUAGGGAACUAUAGGAACAUCAGCCAGGUCAACCCAUAGG
rnacentral:lncRNA from 1 species